UUAAAAAGCUCGUAGUUGGACCUUGGGGUUGAGUACAUCGGUUCUUCAUAGCUUCGGCUUUGAAGGUCAAAAUCGAGUAAUUCUUCCUCUAUUCUCGGAACGUUCAGCCAGAAAUGGUGUUUCGUAGGAUUUACUUUGAAUAAAUUAGGGUGUUUAAAGCAGGCAUAAAAGCCUUGAAUACAUUAGCAUGGGAUAAUAAAAGAUGACCUUUGGUCUAAACUUUAUUGGUUUCUAAGGCCUAGGUAAUGAUUGAUAGGGAUAGUUGAGGUCGCUCGUAUUCAGUGGUCAGAGGUGAAAUUCUAAGACCCACUGAGGACGAACUAAUGCGAAGGCAUUCGACAAGGAUGUUUUCAUUAAUCAAGAACGAAAGUUGUGGGAUCGAAGAUGAUUAGAUACCGUCGUAGUCACAACCGUAAACUAUGUUGACUCAGGAUUUGAGGAUGUUACAUGGAUGACUCUUCAAGCACUGUGUGCGAAAGCAUAAGUAUUCGAACUCCGGGGGGAGUAUGGUCGCAAGGCUGAAACUUAAAGGAAUUGACGGAAGGGCACCA
rnacentral:rRNA from 1 species